rnacentral:rRNA from 1 species
UACGUAGGGGGCAAGCGUUGUCCGGAUUUAUUGGGCGUAGAGAGCGUGUAGGCGGUUAUGCAGGUCCGCUGUGAAAACUGGAGGCUUAACCUCCAGACGUCGGUGGAAACCGUAUGACUAGAGUCCGGAAGAGGAGAGUGGAAUUCCUGGUGUAGCGGUGAAAUGCGCAGAUAUCAGGAAGAACACCCGUGGCGAAGGCGGCUCUCUGGGACGGUACUGACGCUGAGACGCGAAAGCGUGGGGAGCGAACAGG